AGAUCUACACUCGUCAAAAAUAUUUAAAUUUGGCGCGCCAGCUGGCGAAUGCUCAUUGGCUCUCGCGCACUUCCUCAACGGUUGUUCGUUGCGUUUGAAUAACAAGCGCGCCUUCACAAAGUGACUCAGGAUUUACAGCGUACGAUUUUAAUUCUACUCUGAACUUCACGCAGAAUUAUUGAACUUUGCCAGAGUCAGGACUCACCUGGAAACACUGUCCUGGGAGAAAGAAAGUGUAAAGUUCAUACACAGCAGAGGAAGGAUGAAACCGGAGUUUUGCCAUGAAGACAAACGGACUGUUGAGAAGCAGGUGCAUUAUGGGAUUGUACGUGAAGAUGAUCUGGAAGAAGACCGUUGAUAAAUCUGGAAAGUUCCAUUGUUUCAGUGAAAGGUCGAGUCCAAUCACUUCUGCAGAAGAAUGACGAAACAGUGGAAAAUAUUGAGGAUUUAUCAUGGAGCACAGAAGGGGCACGCGCGUUGAUUCGAGUCGCCAGUGUUGUUGUUGUUAGACUGCAGGACUGGACAAUGAAGUCUUCAGCAAAUGCACUCACCAAGUUUUUUCGACCAGAUGUAUCUAUAGCCUAUUGCUAGUACUAGACUAGUGAUUUAGUUUUAAAAUAAUUUACAUUUUGCAGUUAGAAAGUAUUGUUCGAUCGGUCAGGCCAACUUUUCUUUGAAUUUAUCUCUCUCUGUUGUAAAAAUCUCCAAAAUGGCAUUCAAAUUUAACAAGUGAUCAGGUUUUUUUUUUUUUUUUUUAUGAAAAAGUUUGAAACUGCAUCAAAGCUAAAUUGCGUGUUUCAUAAUUAGCUGGGACAAAAGUAUUGAGUCAAACUAA